UGCCAGCCGCCGCGGUAAUACGGAGGGUGCAAGCGUUAUCCGGAAUCACUGGGUUUAAAGGGUGCGUAGGCGGCAAAAUAAGUCAGAAGUGAAAGCUCGCAGCUUAACUGUGGAAUUGCUUUUGAUACUGUAUUGCUUGAAUAAGGUUGAGGUCAGCGGAAUGUGACAUGUAGCGGUGAAAUGCAUAGAUAUGUCAUAGAACACCAAUUGCGAAGGCAGCUGGCUAGACCUUUAUUGACGCUGAGGCACGAAAGCGUGGGGAGCGAACAGGAUUAGAUA
rnacentral:rRNA from 1 species